rnacentral:rRNA from 1 species
UACGGAGGGUGCAAGCGCUAUCCGGAUUCACUGGGUUUAAAGGGUGCGUAGGAGGGCAGGUAAGUCAGUGGUGAAAUCUUCGAGCUUAACUCGGAACUGCCGUUGAUACUAUCUGUCUUGAAUACCGUGGAGGUGAGCGGAAUAUGUCAUGUAGCGGUGAAAUGCUUAGAUAUGACAUAGAACACCAAUUGCGAAGGCAGCUCGCUACACGAAUAUUGACUCUGAGGCACGAAAGCGUGGGAUCAAACAGG